AGGAAGAGCUUGCUGCUUUGCUGACGAGUGGCCGAUGGGUGAGUAAUGUCUGGGAAACUGCCUGAUGGAGGGGGAUAACUACUGGAAACGGUAGCUAAUACCGCAUAACGUCGCAAGACCAAAGAGGGGGACCUUCGGGCCUCUUGCCAUCGGAUGUGCCCAGAUGGGAUUAGCUAGUAGGUGGGGUAACGGCUCACCUAGGCGACGAUCCCUAGCUGGUCUGAGAGGAUGACCAGCCACACUGGAACUGAGACACGGUCCAGACUCCUACGGGAGGCAGCAGUGGGGAAUAUUGCACAAUGGGCGCAAGCCUGAUGCAGCCAUGCCGCGUGUAUGAAGAAGGCCUUCGGGUUGUAAAGUACUUUCAGCGGGGAGGAAGGGAGUAAAGUUAAUACCUUUGCUCAUUGACGUUACCCGCAGAAGAAGCACCGGCUAACUCCGUGCCAGCAGCCGCGGUAAUACGGAGGGUGCAAGCGUUAAUCGGAAUUACUGGGCGUAAAGCGCACGCAGGCGGUUUGUUAAGUCAGAUGUGAAAUCCCCGGGCUCAACCUGGGAACUGCAUCUGAUACUGGCAAGCUUGAGUCUCGUAUAGGGGGGUAGAAUUCCAGGUGUAGCGGUGAAAUGCGUAGAGAUCUGGAGGAAUACCGGUGGCGAACGCGGCCCCCUGGACGAAGACUGACGCUCAUGUGCGAAAGCGUGGGGAGCAAACAGGAUUAGAUACCCCUGGUAGUCCACGCCGUAAACUAUGUCUACUUUGGAGGUUGGUGCCCUUUGAGGCGUGGCCUUCCGGAGCUAACCCUUUAAGUCCCAC
rnacentral:rRNA from 1 species